rnacentral:rRNA from 1 species
AGAGUUUGAUCCUGGCUCAGGAUGAACGCUGGCGGCGUGCUUAACACAUGCAAGUCGAACGAUGAUCCCAGCUUGCUGGGGGAUUAGUGGCGAACGGGUGAGUAACACGUGAGUAACCUGCCCUUGACUCUGGGAUAAGCCUGGGAAACUGGGUCUAAUACCGGAUAUGACUCCUCAUCGCAUGGUGGGGGGUGGAAAGCUUUUGUGGUUUUGGAUGGACUCGCGGCCUAUCAGCUUGUUGGUGGGGUAAUGGCCUACCAAGGCGACGACGGGUAGCCGGCCUGAGAGGGUGACCGGCCACACUGGGACUGAGACACGGCCCAGACUCCUACGGGAGGCAGCAGUGGGGAAUAUUGCACAAUGGGCGCAAGCCUGAUGCAGCGACGCCGCGUGAGGGAUGACGGCCUUCGGGUUGUAAACCUCUUUCAGUAGGGAAGAAGCGUAAGUGACGGUACCUGCAGAAGAAGCGCCGGCUAACUACGUGCCAGCAGCCGCGGUAAUACGUAGGGCGCAAGCGUUAUCCGGAAUUAUUGGGCGUAAAGAGCUCGUAGGCGGUUUGUCGCGUCUGCUGUGAAAGACCGGGGCUCAACUCCGGUUCUGCAGUGGGUACGGGCAGACUAGAGUGCAGUAGGGGAGACUGGAAUUCCUGGUGUAGCGGUGAAAUGCGCAGAUAUCAGGAGGAACACCGAUGGCGAAGGCAGGUCUCUGGGCUGUAACUGACGCUGAGGAGCGAAAGCAUGGGGAGCGAACAGGAUUAGAUACCCUGGUAGUCCAUGCCGUAAACGUUGGGCACUAGGUGUGGGGGACAUUCCACGUUUUCCGCGCCGUAGCUAACGCAUUAAGUGCCCCGCCUGGGGAGUACGGCCGCAAGGCUAAAACUCAAAGGAAUUGACGGAAUC